UACGAAGGGGACUAGCGUUGUUCGGAAUCACUGGGCGUAAAGCGCACGUAGGCGGAUUUGUAAGUCAGGGGUGAAAUCCCGGGGCUCAACCUCGGAACUGCCUUUGAUACUGCGAAUCUUGAGUCCGAUAGAGGUGGGUGGAAUUCCUAGUGUAGAGGUGAAAUUCGUAGAUAUUAGGAAGAACACCAGUGGCGAAGGCGGCCCACUGGAUCGGUACUGACGCUGAGGUGCGAAAGCGUGGGGAGCAAACAGGG
rnacentral:rRNA from 1 species